UCCGACGAACCCGACCCACCCGGUCCGAUUCCUUGGCAUUUUGUACCCAACGGUCCUCCGCAGAGAGCUGUGUUGCCAGAGAAGGACGAAACGGGGAAACCGGAAAGAGAUUUGGGGAUCUCGCCGGAGAGGCGGUUUCCGGAGACGUUGAAAUCCUGGAUACUGAGAGGGAGAUUGAAAUCCUGGAUACUAACCGGCAGGUCUAAAUUGGAGAUUAAACCGGAGAAAUUGUUGUCCUCGAGUCGGAGAGUCAACAGAUGAGUCAAAUGGUCUGCGGACGGGAUGGGGCCGGAGAAGUUGUUACGAGAGAGAUCCAGGCGGA
rnacentral:lncRNA from 1 species